UACAGAGGGUGCGAGCGUUAAUCGGAAUUACUGGGCGUAAAGCGUGCGCGGGCGGCUUUGCAAGACAGAUGUGAAAUCCCCGGGCUUAACCUGGGAACUGCAUUUGUGACUGCAUGGCUGGAGUGCGGCAGAGGGGGAUGGAAUUCCGCGUGUAGCAGUGAAAUGCGUAGAGAUGUGGAGGAACACCGAUGGCGAAGGCAGCCCCCUGGGUCAAAACUGACGCUCAUGCACGAAAGCGUGGGGAGCAAACAGG
rnacentral:rRNA from 1 species